ACUUUCUCGGGGGCUCUUUCUGUGCUUUUGGAGCACUGGGUUUGAGGGUCUCUUGCCCUUUGUUGUGCCCCAAUUUGGGUUUUGACUGGGGCUGGGUUUGAACCUGCCAUGCCCGAUAUAUGGUGCCGGAGCCCUACUUCUUGAGCCACAGGAACCACCCAGGAGUAAGGGGAGAAAGAGCGCUUUGGGGAAGCACUUCGUCUACGUGACAACUGCGUGAGUCGGCUGGACCGGCGUAAGGAAACUGCGUCGCCUACACUCAUACCCUGUUAACGAUCUUUUAACUUGCUGAGGCGGAG